rnacentral:lncRNA from 1 species
AUGCUCCGCUCCCUCCCGGGGCGCCCGGGCCGCGGCCGAGCGGAUGUGCGGCGGGCCCGGGCGGCGGCGGCGGCGGCGGCGGGGGCGGGGGCGGGGCGGCGCUCCGGGGCCGCGGGGCAGGGCCGUCCCAGCCCGACCGGGAUCUCCGCCGAGCAGGAAAAAAAAAAAAAAAAAGCAAAAAAAAAACUUUUCACUCGUGACACCGCCCGGAAUCACGGCGCGCAAGUGCGUCCCCGCGGCGGCGGGCCCGGGCCGGGGGCCGGGGGCCGGGGGGGGCAGGGGGGCGCGGGGGGCGCGGGGCGCGGGGUCCCGGCCGCGCUAGGCCUCCGGCUCCGGGUUAUUGUCUCGACAGCGCCCGCCGCGCCCUCCGCCCGCCGCCGCCCCGGGGCCGCCGCCGAGGGGCCGGGCGAGCUCGCGGGCGGCCCCCUCCCCGCCCCGCCCCUCCCGUCCCCGGCCGCCGUCCGUCCGUCCGUCCGUCCCUCCGUCCGUCCCUCUCGGCGCCGCGGCGGGCGGGCCCUCGAGCCGCGCUCUCCUCCCUCUCCCGGCUUCCCGCCGCCGGCCCCUCGCUCCCCGGCUCGCGCUUCCUCCGGGCGGCCGCGGCGGGGGCGCCCCCGGGCGGCGCGGGGGGCCGCGGGGGGCGGGGGGGCGGGGCGCGGGGGUCCUCUCGGGCUCGCGGGGCCGCGGCGGGGGCCGAGGCUGCGUCCCGCGCCGCCGCGCCACCUUCGCUCGGGCUGGCGAGCCUGCGAGGGGCGGGAGGGGCGGGAGGGGCGGGGAGGGGGAGGGAGGGAGGGAGAGAAAGGAGGAGCAGGGAGCCGGGCGGAGGGGAGUGCCGGCCUCGCAGGCCGCGCGGCAGCAGCAGCGCCACCGCCACCGCCCCGGCGGGCAGGGGGAGAGACUGCGCGCGGCGGGGCAGGGGCGGGGCGGGGCGGGGCGGGGCGCCUCCCGCGGGCUUCGCCCCCCCGCCCACGGCCGGGCAGGAGGCCUGCGCGAGCCAGUGCCGGCGCGCGGGGGCGGCGGGGGCGGAGGCGGGGGCGGGGGCGGCGGGGGCGCGCGGGGGGCGCGGGGGAGGGCCCGGCGGCAGGGCUGCGCGCGCGAGGCCCAGCUGGGCCGGGACCCCAGCUCCUCCGCGCAGCCGGGGCGCCGAGCCCCCCGCCCUCCCAGCCGCCUGGGCCCCGGCGCACGACGGCCCCGGGGGCGCGGGGUUCAGGUCCAGCCCCGCUCGGCGGGCUGCAGGUAGCCCCGCGCGGCCCUCCCACUUCCUCUAAGGGCUCGUCGCGCUGCAGGAAACCGCAGCGGCGGCCGGGGCAGCUUCCCACGCCGGCCCCUCCGGCUCGGGGGCUCCUCCGAGUCUCAGCCUCGCACGCGCGAGGAGACAAAGCUGGCGCUGGGGUGGGGGGAGGGGGGACGGCCCGCGAAACGGCCUCAGGAUCGUGCCUUUGUUCCGGGGAGCGCCCCCGGCCCCCCGGCCCCCCGGCCCCCGGCCCCCGGCCCCGGCGCCGCAGCCCUGCACCUCGCCGCGCGGGCCGCGGUCUUCCAGCCUGGCACGGUUUGCGUUUACUGCGGAGCGAGACUCCUAAGCGUUCCACCAACACAUAUGGCAGAGAGCGCUGCGACCAUAACAUUGCACGGUUUUUUGCAGUCACUGCCUUAAAUACGUUAACAGACAGGACGGCCUUGUUCGGGAGCAGGAGCGUAAGAGACGCGGAACAAACCGUUCCCCGCCCCCAGCCUCCGCGGCGCGGAACCCUGCCGGGGCGCCGAGGAGCCGCUGGGUCCCCCACGCCUUUGCUUCAGUCCUUCCGUCUGUGUUCCAGAGAUAAUCAUUUAUUGCCAAGUUUGAGUAAAGAACCGUAUGCCCUAUAG